AUAACUUCUAGCUUUUACUCAACAUGGCACUUGACAUUUCUAUUUGUGUGGCCAUUUUAUGACUCAUCAAUGACUUUCUUCCUUCUUUUCAGUCUAAAUCUACCAACAGUUUAUUUAUAAAUGAGAAUGCAGUCAUAUGCAGGGACAUGUGGCAACACCAAAUAAAAAAGAUGCCUGAAGCAAUCUACAGUAGAUAUUAAAAAGCAAAGUUUCUGAAUUUUGAUCUAAAAGAUAACAAUUAGAACUAUUUAUCCAAUUCUGAAAAUACAUUUUACAUAUAGGAAGAUAUGUCUUAAGGACUAUAAGCUGCUUUUCGUUGGAGGCAUAGAUGCAGGCAAGUCCGUGAACCAACAUCAGCAAUUAAUAUAGAAGAGAAUGAUUUGUAACCUCUCCACAUGCUCUAACCCCACUAAUAGGGGAGGUCAACGGAACACACAUUUUAGAAAAGUUUGGCUUAGUUUUAAGAACACCUGACUACAUAAAGUCAAGCUCUGAAGAAUACCAUUCCUGGAAAAUGGGGUCAAAAACUUACACAGAGUGCAACACUACUUUACAGUACAAUAAUUAGAUUAUACCAGUUCAAAUUAUCAUUAAAUUUGAGUCAUGUAUCACUUAACUACAUAUACUAGAAACAUUUAAAAUUUCCCUACACCUGUCCGUACCUCUCUAAACAUGUGACCUAUUUUGCAGCUACUAUACCAAAUGUAUCUUCUUUUGCAUGCAUUUAUUAAACAAAUUAGUUUACAACUG